UAAGUUAGAAAGGGCGCACGGUGGAUGCCUUGACACUAGGAGUCGAUGAAGGACGGGACUAACGCCGAUAUGCUUCGGGGAGCUGUAAGUAAGCUUUGAUCCGAAGAUUUCCGAAUGGGGAAACCCACCAUACGUAAUGGUAUGGUAUCCUUAUCUGAAUACAUAGGAUAAGGAAGACAGACCCAGGGAACUGAAACAUCUAAGUACCUGGAGGAAGAGAAAGCAAAUGCGAUUUCCUGAGUAGCGGCGAGCGAAACGGAACAUAGCCCAAACCAAGAGGCUUGCCUCUUGGGGUUGUAGGACAUUCUAUACGGAGUUACAAAGGAACGAGGUAGACGAAGCGACCUGGAAAGGUCCGUCGUAGAGGGUAACAACCCCGUAGUCGAAACUUCGUUCUCUCUUGAAUGUAUCCUGAGUACGGCGGAACACGUGAAAUUCCGUCGGAAUCUGGGAGGACCAUCUCCCAAGGCUAAAUACUCCCUAGUGAUCGAUAGUGAACCAGUACCGUGAGGGAAAGGUGAAAAGCACCCCGGAAGGGGAGUGAAAGAGAUCCUGAAACCGUGUGCCUACAAAUAGUCAGAGCCCGUUAACGGGUGAUGGCGUGCCUUUUGUAGAAUGAACCGGCGAGUUACGAUCCCGUGCGAGGUUAAGCUGAAGAGGCGGAGCCGCAGCGAAAGCGAGUCUGAAUAGGGCGUUUAGUACGUGGUCGUAGACCCGAAACCAGGUGAUCUACCCAUGUCCAGGGUGAAGUUCAGGUAACACUGAAUGGAGGCCCGAACCCACGCACGUUGAAAAGUGCGGGGAUGAGGUGUGGGUAGCGGAGAAAUUCCAAUCGAACCUGGAGAUAGCUGGUUCUCCCCGAAAUAGCUUUAGGGCUAGCCUUAAGUGUAAGAGUCUUGGAGGUAGAGCACUGAUUGGACUAGGGGUCCUCAUCGGAUUACCGAAUUCAGUCAAACUCCGAAUGCCAAUGACUUAUCCUUAGGAGUCAGACUGCGAGUGAUAAGAUCCGUAGUCAAAAGGGAAACAGCCCAGACCGCCAGCUAAGGUCCCAAAGUGUGUAUUAAGUGGAAAAGGAUGUGGAGUUGCUUAGACAACUAGGAUGUUGGCUUAGAAGCAGCCACCAUUUAAAGAGUGCGUAAUAGCUCACUAGUCGAGUGACUCUGCGCCGAAAAUGUACCGGGGCUAAAUACACCACCGAAGCUGCGGAUUGAUACCAAUGGUAUCAGUGGUAGGGGAGCGUUCUAAGGACAGUGAAGUCAGACCGGAAGGACUGGUGGAGUGCUUAGAAGUGAGAAUGCCGGUAUGAGUAGCGAAAGACGGGUGAGAAUCCCGUCCACCGAAUGCCUAAGGUUUCCUGAGGAAGGCUCGUCCGCUCAGGGUUAGUCAGGACCUAAGCCGAGGCCGACAGGCGUAGGCGAUGGACAACAGGUUGAUAUUCCUGUACCACCUCUUUAUCGUUUGAGCAAUGGAGGGACGCAGAAGGAUAGAAGAAGCGUGCGAUUGGUUGUGCACGUCCAAGCAGUUAGGCUGAUAAGUAGGCAAAUCCGCUUAUCGUGAAGGCUGAGCUGUGAUGGGGAAGCUCCUUAUGGAGCGAAGUCUUUGAUUCCCCGCUGCCAAGAAAAGCUUCUAGCGAGAUAAAAGGUGCCUGUACCGCAAACCGACACAGGUAGGCGAGGAGAGAAUCCUAAGGUGUGCGAGAGAACUCUGGUUAAGGAACUCGGCAAAAUGACCCCGUAACUUCGGGAGAAGGGGUGCUUUCUUAACGGAAAGCCGCAGUGAAUAGGCCCAAGCGACUGUUUAGCAAAAACACAGCUCUCUGCGAAGCCGUAAGGCGAAGUAUAGGGGGUGACACCUGCCCGGUGCUGGAAGGUUAAGGAGAGGGGUUAGCGUAAGCGAAGCUCUGAACUGAAGCCCCAGUAAACGGCGGCCGUAACUAUAACGGUCCUAAGGUAGCGAAAUUCCUUGUCGGGUAAGUUCCGACCCGCACGAAAGGUGUAACGAUUUGGGCACUGUCUCAACCAGAGACUCGGUGAAAUUAUAGUACCUGUGAAGAUGCAGGUUACCCGCGACAGGACGGAAAGACCCCGUGGAGCUUUACUGUAGCCUGAUAUUGAAUUUUGGUACAGUUUGUACAGGAUAGGCGGGAGCCUUUGAAACCGGAGCGCUAGCUUCGGUGGAGGCGCUGGUGGGAUACCGCCCUGACUGUAUUGAAAUUCUAACCUACGGGUCUUAUCGACCCGGGAGACAGUGUCAGGUGGGCAGUUUGACUGGGGCGGUCGCCUCCUAAAGUGUAACGGAGGCGCCCAAAGGUUCCCUCAGAAUGGUUGGAAAUCAUUCGUAGAGUGCAAAGGCAUAAGGGAGCUUGACUGCGAGACCUACAAGUCGAGCAGGGACGAAAGUCGGGCUUAGUGAUCCGGUGGUUCCGCAUGGAAGGGCCAUCGCUCAACGGAUAAAAGCUACCCCGGGGAUAACAGGCUUAUCUCCCCCAAGAGUCCACAUCGACGGGGAGGUUUGGCACCUCGAUGUCGGCUCAUCGCAUCCUGGGGCUGUAGUCGGUCCCAAGGGUUGGGCUGUUCGCCCAUUAAAGCGGUACGCGAGCUGGGUUCAGAACGUCGUGAGACAGUUCGGUCCCUAUCCGUCGUGGGCGUAGGAAAUUUGAGAGGAGCUGUCCUUAGUACGAGAGGACCGGGAUGGACGCACCGCUGGUGUACCAGUUGUUCUGCCAAGGGCAUAGCUGGGUAGCUAUGUGCGGAAGGGAUAAGUGCUGAAAGCAUCUAAGCAUGAAGCCCCCCUCAAGAUGAGAUUUCCCAUAGCGUAAGCUAGUAAGAUCCCUGAAAGAUGAUCAGGUUGAUAGGUUCGAGGUGGAAGCAUGGUGACAUGUGGAGCUGACGAAUACUAAUAGAUCGAGGACUUAACCA
rnacentral:rRNA from 3 species